rnacentral:rRNA from 1 species
UAAUACGGAGGGGGCUAGCGUUAUUCGGAAUUAUUGGGCGUAAAGGGCGUGUAGGCGGCCUUGUAUGUCUCAUGUGAAAGCCCUCGGCUCAACCGGGGAACUGCAUGGGAAACGGCAAGGCUUGAGUCCGGGAGAGGAUAGUGGAAUUCCCAGUGUAGCGGUGAAAUGCGUAGAUAUUGGGAGGAACACCAGUGGCGAAGGCGGCUAUCUGGACCGGUACUGACGCUGAGACGCGAAAGCCAGGGGAGCAAACGGGAUUAGAUACCCCGGUAGUCCUGGCUGUAAACGAUGAGAACUUGGUGUGGCGGGUAUCGACCCCUGCCGUGCCGAAGCUAACGCAUUAAGUUCUCCGCCUGGGGAGUACGGUCGCAAGACUG